AUACGGAGGAUGCGAGCGUUAUCCGGAUUUAUUGGGUUUAAAGGGUGCGUAGGCGGGCUGGUAAGUCAGCGGUGAAACGCAGGUGCUCAACACCUGACCUGCCGUUGAAACUGUUGGACUAGAAUGCGGAUGCUGUGGGAGGAAUGUGUGGUGUAGCGGUGAAAUGCAUAGAUAUCACACAGAACACCGAUUGCGAAGGCAUCUCACAAAUCCGUGAUUGACGCUGAGGCACGAAAGUGUGGGGAUCAAACAGGAUUAGAUACCCUGGUAGUCCACACUGUAAACGAUGAUAACUCGCUGUCGGCGAUACACAGUCGGUGGCCAAGCGAAAGCGAUAAGUUAUCCACCUGGGGAGCACGACCGCAAGGUUGAAACUCAAAUGAAUUGACGGGG
rnacentral:rRNA from 1 species